CCAAGGCUAAAUACUCCUGACUGACCGAUAGUGAACCAGUACCGUGAGGGAAAGGCGAAAAGAACCCCGGCGAGGGGAGUGAAAAAGAACCUGAAACCGUGUACGUACAAGCAGUGGGAGCACCCUUCGGGGUGUGACUGCGUACCUUUUGUAUAAUGGGUCAGCGACUUAUAUUCUGUAGCAAGGUUAACCGAAUAGGGGAGCCGUAGGGAAACCGAGUCUUAACCGGGCGUUAAGUUGCAGGGUAUAGACCCGAAACCCGGUGAUCUAGCCAUGGGCAGGUUGAAGGUUGGGUAACACUAACUGGAGGACCGAACCGAC
rnacentral:rRNA from 1 species